ACCAUCACCGCGGCUGCCUCAGAGCCGGCCUCCUCCCCCUCCUCCCCUCCCGUCGCCGCCGCCGCCGCCGCCUCCUCUUUCUCCGUCCCCUGCGCCACCUCCACACGACCCAGGCCCUCUGUCCCUGAGGAGAAGCCGUAUUAGGUCUCCUGCGCGGGCCCGGGGAGCAGCCAUGGCGGACGGCGGCGGCGGCGGCAGCGGGGGUACGGGCGCGGUGGGCGGCGGCGGAGCCGGCCAGGCCUCGGCGGGGGCGGGCACGGGCGCGCCGGGCACGGGCGGGAGUGGAGGCCCCAACAACCCGGCCUCGCUCCCUCCCGGCGACCCUCAGCUCAUCGCUCUCAUCGUGGAGCAGCUCAAGAGCCGGGGCCUGUUUGACAGCUUCCGCCGGGACUGCCUGGCCGACGUGGACACCAAGCCAGCUUACCAAAACCUGAGGCAGAAAGUGGAUAAUUUUGUGUCAACACAUCUGGACAAGCAGGAAUGGAAUCCUACGAUGAACAAAAACCAAUUGCGAAAUGGUCUGAGGCAGAGUGUGGUCCAGUCGGGGAUGUUGGAAGCAGGAGUGGACAGAAUAAUUUCUCAGGUGGUGGACCCCAAACUAAACCACAUCUUCAGACCCCAGAUAGAACGAGCGAUUCAUGAGUUCCUGGCGGCCCAGAAAAAAGCAGCAGUGCCAGCACCCCCUGCAGAGCCAGAAGGCCAAGACCCUCCAGCCCCGUCCCAGGACGCUUCCUAAGGUCUGGUGUCCCGUCUUUUGUCCAGGAGCAUUCAUCUCUGACUUAUAGAUAAAUGAAAUGCAUAGAAAAGGGAAUAUGCCUGACAUCUUUUGGAAGCUCCACUGAAUCAACGGUGAAGAAAUGGAUUCGGUUCAUAAUAGUACAACUUCAGAAUGAAGACAGGCCACGGUCGUCACUGAUUGUAGCCUUGUCUUUGGGGCAGGGUCCAGAUUGAACAGGGAGCACGUCUGACCUGUGUGCCCCUGCAUUGCACUGCCACCUGGCGAGCCUGUCUGAAGGGGUGACAGCCAGCAGACACUACAGAGAUCUGAAGAAACACUACAUCAACCUGCUGUUCUCCAGAAACAAACCUUGAUACUUGAACUUAGAGGUGCAUGUGGAUUUUGGGGUUUGUGCUGGGAAAUUAAAAAAGCUACAGUAAAGGAACAUAACCAGUCUCAAAGGUACGAUUUCUAAGAAUGAUAGUAAAGGUUAGCUGAGAGCGAGUUUUGACAGUGCUCAUUUGAUACCGUUUCUCAGUUACAAACUAGAAUGCACAAGCCACUAGCAUCAAAUAGCUUUAAGGUGUUGUGAUCCUGUUGUUCGUGAAUCUUGUAGCUUGUUUCCUUUCCCCUAAAAGGUGACAAAACACGGGACCCAGAAUGCAUGAGGAGGCGCAGACAUUAGAUAAAAGGAAACAUUUGCAGGCUCUCUGUCCAGGGCUUCUUCCUAUCCUGCAGGGAUAGGCAGUCUUGGGUGUGUUUAUUUUAUUCCCAUGUUUGUGUUUUUUAGAAAAGUGAAUGAUUAAUAAAUAGCUUAAGUUUUAUAAUAAAAUCA